UACGUAGGGUGCAAGCGUUGUCCGGAAUUAUUGGGCGUAAAGAGCUUGUAGGCGGUUUGUCGCGUCUGCUGUGAAAUUUCGGGGCUCAACCCCGAACUGCAGUGGGUACGGGCAGACUAGAGUGUGGUAGGGGGAGACUGGAAUUCCUGGUGUAGGCGGUGAAAUGCGCAGAUAUCAGGAGGAACACCGAUGGCGAAGGCAGGUCUCUGGGCCAUAACUGACGCUGAGAAGCGAAAGCAUGGGGAGCGAACAGG
rnacentral:rRNA from 1 species